UACGUAGGGUGCGAGCGUUAAUCGGAAUUACUGGGCGUAAAGCGUGCGCAGGCGGUGAGCUGUGUCCGAUGUGAAAGCCCCGGGCUUAACCUGGGAACUGCAUUUGUGACUGGCGGGCUAGAGUAUGGCAGAGGGGGGGUAGAAUUCCACGUGUAGCAGUGAAAUGCGUAGAGAUGUGGAGGAAUACCGAUGGCGAAGGCAGCCCCCUGGGCCAAUACUGACGCUCAUGCACGAAAGCGUGGGGAGCAAACAGGAUU
rnacentral:rRNA from 1 species